UUUAAUGUGUCAAGUUUAUUGUAUUUUUUCAUGAUAAAAAUAAUAAAACUCAUUGAAGUAUAUGUGAAAAAUAUAUAAAAGUUAAAGGAUAAAUAGCAGGUAUAUCUGAGAGGCACAAUUUCAGGGCAUGUUUGCUUCUGGUUUUCAAUAUGUAUGUUUUGGAGGACAAUUUUUUUUUUUUUACCACAUAUUGGUUUUGUUUUUGUGAUCCAGAAAAAGAAAGAAUUUGGAGUGUCAAUAAGAGCCCUUAUUGUAAUGCUUCUCUGACACAAUAGUGUCUAUAUAAUUACUCCGAUAUUGUAAAUGAGAAAACCGAGAGUCUAAUUUGCCCCGGUAUCCUACCGAGAAUAAAUGGCAGGGCCAGAAUUCAAACCCAGGUCUCCGUAACUCCAAAGUCAUGCUCGUAUCCAAUGUAUGUCACUGUCUCCCGAGGGUGGCCCUUUAGGUCAUCACAGAAACACUGUCCCCAAGGAUGACAACUCAAGGAUGUGAGGGCGACCUGGCUGCAACAUCUGCCACCCCAUUGAUCACCAGGGUUGACUUGGCUGAUCUGGCUGGCUAGGUGAGUGUCCCCUUCCUCCCCCACCACUCAAUGUGCAUUCCUCCCAAAGCUGCCCACACAGUCAAAGAAGAUGACUUUUACCGAUAGAAGAGGGCUGUUCUUAGCCAAGGGUGUAGGAGUAGCAGCUCUCCCCUCCUAGAACCUCCAGACAAGCCCUCCAGAAGCCUUACAAUGUGGUCUUCUGAUAGUUUUUAUAAUUCAGGCUUCUCAGACCAACUCAUCCUGAGUUUUGUUCCAAAGCAAAUGUUGCUUUAGCAAGAUUCUAGUGAACUUGGGGUCUAGUCUUC
rnacentral:lncRNA from 1 species